rnacentral:lncRNA from 1 species
CAAGGGCUGAGGGGGACUGCUGCGGCCUCGUGGUGGAAUCUGGUUUGCAACGCGAUUUGUGCAGUCCGUGUUACAAACGUUGCAGGCAAUUCCGAGACCCCCUCCGUGACUUCAUCAGAGGGUUUAUGUGGAGCUUCAGAACUGUAUGGAACCAAUUGUGAGAAGAAUAACCUACUACUGGUUUACUGCAAGACAGAUGAUGUAAGAAUCUGCAGAAAUCUGCUGUUUGCGUUCUUGAACACAUGGUGGGAGGCUUUCCUACAGUUUCUUCUAUAGGUCCGGGAGCAGCUCCCAGAGUUGUGGUGAUGAGUAGACAAGAACUUCUGGGGAGGAUGGUUUACCUGCAUCCUCAUCGGUGUCUGAAGAAGAAUGAAGGAAGAUUUCGCUUCUUCACUCUUUUCUCUCCCCUUGUCUAGAAGCUUUGGUAAAAUGGAGCAAGCAGGAAGCCCAGAAUCGGUAGAUUUAUUUUCAAGAGCAGGAAGAAGGCUGUGGAUGCUCCUGGCUGCCUCUCUCCCUUUGCUACCACUCCUCUCAGUGUCAGGGUAGCGGGGUGUCCAAGAGCUAAAAUGGAAAGCACAUGGCUUUGCAACUUAACAAUUGAAAUAAAGAAAUCUAAUAUGACA